AAUACAUGCAGUCGAGCGGAGUAUUUGAAAAGCUUGCUUUUCAAAACUUAGCGGCGGACGGGUGAGUAACACGUGGGCAACCUGCCCUUGAGACGGGGAUAACUCCGGGAAACCGGAGCUAAUACCGGAUAACACAUAUCUUCGCAUGAGGAUAUGUUAGAAGGUGGCUUUUAGCUACCACUCAAGGAUGGGCCCGCGCGCAUUAGCUAGUUGGUGAGGUAACGGCUCACCAAGGCGACGAUGCGUAGCCGACCUGAGAGGGUGAUCGGCCACACUGGGACUGAGACACGGCCCAGACUCCUACGGGAGGCAGCAGUAGGGAAUCUUCCGCAAUGGACGAAAGUCUGACGGAGCAACGCCCGUGAGUGAUGAAGGUUUUCGGAUCGUAAAGCUCUGUUGUUAGGGAAGAACAAGUACCUGUUGAAUAAGCAGGUACCUUGACGGUACCUAACCAGAAAGCCACGGCUAACUACGUGCCA
rnacentral:rRNA from 2 species